rnacentral:rRNA from 1 species
CAGCCGCCGCGGUAAUACGUAGGGUGCAAGCGUUAAUCGGAAUUACUGGGCGUAAAGCGUGCGCAGGCGGUUCGCUAAGACAGAUGUGAAAUCCCCGGGCUUAACCUGGGAACUGCAUUUGUGACUGCACAGCUAGAGUAUGGCAGAGGGGGGUGGAAUUCCACAUGUAGCAGUGAAAUGCGUAGAGAUGUGGAGGAACACCGAUGGCGAAGGCAGCCCCCUGGGCCAAUACUGACGCUCAUGCACGAAAGCGUGGGGAGCAAACAGGAUUAGAUACCCCAGUAGUCCCUGUCUCUUAUAC